CGCCUCUUGAGAAAUAUAAGAGGUCCAGCCUGCCCAGUGACUCUGUUCAACGGCCGCGGUAUCCUAACCGUGCGAAGGUAGCGUAAUCACUUGUUCUUUAAAUGAGGACUAGUAUGAAAGGCAUCACGAGGGUUAUACUGUCUCCUUUUUCUAAUUAGUGAAACUAAUCUCCCCGUGAAGAAGCGGGGAUUAUCUUAUAAGACGAGAAGACCCUAUGGAGCUUUAAAUUAGAUAACAAUUGCCACCUUAUUCUUAUUAACCUUAUAACGUCUAGCAAUAUGAUUAUUAAUUUUUGGUUGGGGUGACCGCGGAGCAUAACAUAACCUCCACAUUGAAAGGAUUUAUUCCUAAGCUAAAAGCAACAACUUUAAGCAUCAAUAAAUUGACAUUAAUUGACCCAAUAUACUUGAUCAACGAACCAAGUUACCCUAGGGAUAACAGCGCAAUCUACUUUAAGAGCCCAUAUCGACAAGUAGGUUUACGACCUCGAUGUUGGAUCAGGGUAUCCUAGUGGUGCAGCCGCUACUAACGGUUCGUUUGUUCAACGAUUAAAACCCU
rnacentral:rRNA from 1 species